ensembl:lncRNA novel transcript
AUUUAGGCAAGGAUUUGAAAGUGUGCAUUUAGAAAUUGAGGGCAUCUCUGUGUUAUUAUGAGUGUAUGUGUGUUUGUGUGUGCAUUUUAGAGUGGUUGGUUAUCUGUGUGUAUUUGCAAGGAGAAGGGGAAUUCAGUGUGUUUCUGUGUUUGUGUGUUUGUUUGUGAAUGGUAUGUUUUGCAGAGGAGUGUACUUUUUAUGUUCGAAAGUUAGGCAAUCAUGUAAUUUAUCAUCCAAAUGGGGAUACAUUUGAGAAUGAAAUAUAUAUGUGUGUGAAAGGAUGUCUUUGAAUGUACUUUUAAAAAUGCAUUUAAUUUUGUGUGUGUUAUUGGUGUCAGGAAUUAAGAAAAAGAAGAGAAGUACAGGAGAUAUCAUUAAAUUAUAUAGUUCUCUCUUCGACUGUAGCCUUAUAACAGGGACAUUAAUAGAAUUAACAGGUGGAAUCUAAUUGUCUCCCUUGGAAUCUGGGAUGGCUGUCCUACUUAUUUGACCAACAGAAUUUGUCAGAAGGGACUUUCUGUAACUUCUGAAGCUGUCUCAUAAGAAGCCUUGCAGAUUCUGCUCAUGUCUCUUUCCUCUCUGGGAAACAAGUCGCGACUCAGGGAUAAGCCUGAGACACAUGGAGAGAACAUCCUGAUCAAUCUGGUCUUUGCUGCUACCCUGGUCAACAGCCUGAGCUGGAUACCUGGCUGACAAGUACCACCUUUUUCCUACACAGAUGACAACCCAGCCCAUGAGCACCAGAUGCCACUGCUACUCCUUCACUUGCUCAUUCUGCAAAAGUUUGUAGAUCUUCUGCAAGGAGAACGGCAUUGUUAACUACCUACAGGAAGUGGUCCAUCUUGGGCUAGUGGCAAAUGGAAAGGCUCUGUUUAUGAUAGUCGCUCAAGGACCCAGAAAAACAAGCAUCCAUCACUGGAAUGUCAUCAGUUAUUGACUCAAAAAAGACCUUUGACCCAACUCAACCUGACAGUAGUCAUAAAUAUCUCCUAAUGUGUUUACUGGCUUCAUUGGUUAUAUUUAUUUUUUCUUCUGUGAAAUGCCUACUUAUGCUUCUUGCCCUUUUUCUAUUAGAUUUGCCCACUUUUAAUAAUGAGUAGAAAUUAUUUAUAUGUUCUUGAGUUUAAUACUUUAUUAGUUACAUAUACUGCAAAUAUCUCUUAACUGUUUCUCCAUUCUUUUCAUUUGGUUCAAGAUAUGUGUUGAAAAAAGGAAAAGUUUUUAGUUUUAUUAGAACUCAAAUGAUCAUCCUUUUCUUACAUAGCUAGUGCUUUUUGUAACUUGUUUAUGAAAAGACUGCCCAGCCCAUAUUCUAAGAGAUAAUCAUCUAUAGUUUUUCCAAACAUUUUACUAUGUAGAUUUUGAAAUUUAAGCCCUUUAUUUGUCUCAAUUUGAUAUUUGUAUAUAAAGUGACAGAGAGGUCCAAUAUUUUUAUUUUAUACAAGAAUAAUUAUUUUAUUAAGUUCCAUUUUGGGAAUAAUUCCUUUUCUCUCCACUGAUCUGAUAUGCCACACAUACAUUGGUGUUUCACAUAUGUGUAAAUCUGUUUUAAAACUGUCCAUUGUGUUACUGGUCAAUUUGCCUUUCUAUUUCCAAAUAUUGUUUUAAAUAAUAUAAGAAGUCUUGAUAUCGAGAAGAAUAAAUUUUUCCUUAACUUUUUCUUGGCUUUUUAAAAUUCCCAUGGAGUCUUCAAAAACUUUUGUUAGAAUAUUUCCAAGAUGUAUGUUUUAAUACCCUCCAAUCAUAU